UCAGCUGAUCAUCAAUGUUGGGUUCAACCAAGCUGUAAAGUUACAUUCGUUAAAACUUCAUUGUCUGGAUGAAAAUGGUCCGAAAAAUGUGAAGCUUUUCAUCAAUCAGCCAACUACCUUAGAUUUUGACUCUGCAGAUUCCAUGGAGUCUAUACAGAUGCUGGAGUUGAAGCCAGAAGACUUGAAAGAAGGAGCAAUCAUUCCUCUCAAAUAUGUCAAGUUACAGAAUGUCUUGAGCUUAACAUUAUUUGUAAAAGACAAUCAAAAUGGUGCUGACACAACUCGCAUUGAUUAUCUAGGUUUCAUAGGAUCUCCAACCAACACCACCAACAUGGCAGAGUUCAAAAGGG
rnacentral:sRNA from 1 species